rnacentral:misc_RNA from 1 species
GUAGGUGAACCUGCGGAAGGAUCAUUAACACGUUACACAAACGUUAUUAUACAUAUAUACCAACCGUGAACCAAAUGAAAAUGGCUAGCUCUAUUAGGGCUGCAAAAACUCUUAGUAGUCUGCUGCCGCCUGCGGUUUCAAUCUAUGUCCCUCCCUUCCUUCUGUUGUGGAGAGUCGACCAUUUAGAGACACAAAACCAGGUGGUUGUCCGAGGGGUUAGCCAUUAGUGUUGUCGUUAUUAUUAACGACU